UGCACCACCAGGUCCAGAGAGGGAGAUCACGCGAUGCUGAACAGGGGCUAAGCUGGUUGUGGGCGGUACCUCACAGAACUCCUUGGACUGUCGGUGGAACUCUGGAGAAUCGUGCUGAGCCACAAACACCAACACAGGGUCCUGGACACACACGCCCUGCGGCAGAUAAUCCCAUGCACACAGGACACUGUGCUGAGGGAAAGAACAGGCUGUGCUCACUACGGACUUUAAUCUCUAAGCUGGCUUCCUCCCUUGGAAAACAGGACAAUUAUGUUCCCUGUCUUUGCAAGUUGUGAGAGUUGAAGGUGAAAAGCACAGCACAGUGGAAUAAAUACAACGGCCAAAUAAGACGAAAAA